GGAGACAAGAAGGCAUCUUCUUGUUUUUAAAAGACCUAGCAAUAGGUAUGCUUAGGGAGGAGCUUGCGUCACAUUAGUUAGUUGGUGGGGUAAAAGCCUACCAAGACUAUGAUGUGUAGCCGGGCUGAGAGGUUGAACGGCCACAUUGGGACUGAGACACGGCCCAAACUCCUACGGGAGGCAGCAGUAGGGAAUUUUCGGCAAUGGAGGAAACUCUGACCGAGCAACGCCGCGUGAACGAUGAAGUAUUUCGGUACGUAAAGUUCUUUUAUUAGGGAAGAAUAAAUGAUGGAAAAAUCAUUCUGACGGUACCUAAUGAAUAAGCCCCGGCUAACUAUGUGCCAGCAGCCGCGGUAAUACAUAGGGGGCAAGCGUUAUCCGGAAUUAUUGGGCGUAAAGGGUGCGUAGGCGGUUAAAUAAGUUUAUGGUCUAAGUGCAAUGCUCAACAUUGUGAUGCUAUAAAAACUGUUUAGCUAGAGUAAGAUAGAGGCAAGUGGAAUUCCAUGUGUAGUGGUAAAAUGCGUAAAUAUAUGGAGGAACACCAGUAGCGAAGGCGGCUUGCUGGGUCUUUACUGACGCUGAGGCACGAAAGCGUGGGGAGCAAACAGGAUUAGAUACCCUGGUAGUCCACGCCGUAAACGAUGAGUACUAAACGUUGGGUAAAACCAGUGUUGAAGUUAACACAUUAAGUACUCCGCCUGAGUAGUACGUACGCAAGUAUGAAACUUAAAGGAAUUGACGGGACUCCGCACAAGCGGUGGAUCAUGUUGUUUAAUUCGAAGGUACCCGAAAAACCUCACCAGGUCUUGACAUGCUUCUGCAAAGCUGUAGAAACACAGUGGAGGUUAUCAGUUGCACAGGUGGUGCAUGGUUGUCGUCAGCUCGUGUCGUGAGAUGUUGGGUUAAGUCCCGCAACGAGCGCAACCCUUAUUGUUAGUUACCAGCACGUAAUGGUGGGGACUUUAGCAAGACUGCCAGUGAUAAAUUGGAGGAAGGUGGGGACGACGUCAAAUCAUCAUGCCCCUUAUGACCUGGGCUACAAACGUGAUACAAUGGCUGUUACAAAGGGUAGCUGAAGCGCAAGUUUUUGGCGAAUCUCAAAAAAACAGUCUCAGUUCGGAUUGAAGUCUGCAACUCGACUUCAUGAAGUUGGAAUCGCUAGUAAUCGCGAAUCAGCAUGUCGCGGUGAAUACGUUCUCGGGGUUUGUACACA
rnacentral:rRNA from 1 species